UGGGGAAUUUUGGACAAUGGGGGAAACCCUGAUCCAGCCAUCCCGCGUGUGCGAUGAAGGCCUUCGGGUUGUAAAGCACUUUUGGCAGGAAAGAAACGUCAUGGGUUAAUACCCCGUGAAACUGACGGUACCUGCAGAAUAAGCACCGGCUAACUACGUGCCAGCAGCCGCGGUAAUACGUAGGGUGCAAGCGUUAAUCGGAAUUACUGGGCGUAAAGCGUGCGCAGUCGGUUCGGAAAGAAAGAUGUGAAAUCCCAGAGCUCAACUUUGGAACUGCAUUUUUAACUACCGGGCUAGGGUGUGUCAGAGGGAGGUGGAAUUCCGCGUGUAGAAGUGAAAUGCGUAGAUAUGCGGAGGAACACCGAUGGCGAAGGCAGCCUCCUGGGAUAACACUGACGCUCAUGCACGAAAGCGUGGGGAGCAAACAGG
rnacentral:rRNA from 1 species